GACGAACGCUGGCGGCGUGCCUAAUACAUGCAAGUUGAGCGCUGAAGGUUGGUACUUGUACCGACUGGAUGAGCAGCGAACGGGUGAGUAACGCGUGGGGAAUCUGCCUUUGAGCGGGGGACAACAUUUGGAAACGAAUGCUAAUACCGCAUAACAACUUUAAACACAAGCUUUAAGUUUGAAAGAUGCAAUUGCAUCACUCAAACAUGAUCCCGCGUUGUAUUAGCUAGUUGGUGAGGUAAAGGCUCACCAAGGCGAUGAUACAUAGCCGACCUGAGAGGGUGAUCGGCCACAUUGGGACUGAGACACGGCCCAAACGCCUACGGGAGGCAGCAGUAGGGAAUCUUCGGCAAUGGACGAAAGUCUGACCGAGCAACGCCGCGUGAGUGAAGAAGGUUUUCGGAUCGUAAAACUCUGCUGGUAGAGAAGAACGUUGGUGAGAGUGGAAAGCUCAUCAAGUGACGGUAACUACCCAGAAAGGGACGGCUAACUACGUGCCAGCCGCCGCAGUAA
rnacentral:rRNA from 1 species